rnacentral:rRNA from 1 species
GGGGGAUAAGCUUCAUUGUCGAGAGGGUAACAGCCCAGAUCACCAGUUAAGGCCCCUAAAUAACUACUAAGUGGCAAAGGAGGUAAUAGUACGUAGACAACCAGGAGGUUUGCCUAGAAGCAGCAAUAUUCCUUUAAAAAUCGCGUAAUAGCUUACUGGUCAAGUGCUUUUGCGCCGAUAAUGUACGGGACUAAGUAGUUUGCCGAAUCUGUGAGGAAGAGAAACGGUAGAAGAGCGUUCUGUUUGGAUUGAAGCAAUAACGUAAGUAGUUGUGGACCUUUCAGAAGUGAGAAUGUCGGCUUAAGUAACGAAAACAUUGGUGAGAAUCCAAUGCUCCGAAAACCUAAGGUUUCCUUCGCAAGGUUCGUCCACGAAGGGUUAGUCAGGUUCUAAAAUGAGGCCUAAAGGCGUAGUUGAUGACAAACAGGUUAAUAUUCCUGUACUAUAGAGAUUUAAGAAUAAGAAGGACGAAGAAGGCUAGGUUAGCCAAACAUUGGUUGUUUUGGUUUAAAUUACUAAGGUGUUGAUAAGUAUUAUUAAAAAAUAUUUUGAACUAAAGUAAUGAAUAAUAUGAUGCUAUGGUGUCUAAUUAACUCAUGUCACACUUCCUAGAAAAGUUCUGUUAUUUGUAAUAUUAAUAUACCUGUACCGUAAACUGACACAGGUAGGUAAGUAGAGUAUACUAAGGAGCGCGAGAGAACUCUUUUUAAGGAACUCGGCAAAAUAGCCUUGUAACUUCGGGAGAAAAGGUGCCCUAAAUAAAGUUUAGGGUCGCAGUGAUCAGAUUCAGGCGACUGUUUACCAAAAACACAGGUUUCCGCAAAGUUGAAAAACGAUGUAUGGGAGCUGACGCCUGCCCAGUGCCAGAAGGUUAAAGAAACUGGUUAGCUCACGCGAAGCUAGUGACUGAAGCCCUGGUGAACGGCGGCAGUAACUAUAACUGUCCUAAGGUAGCGAAAUUCCUUGUCGGGUAAGUUCCGACCCGCACGAAAGGCGUAACGAUCUGAAAACUGUCUCAAAAAGAGACUCGGUGAAAUAGAAUUAACUGUGAAGAUGCGGUUAACUUGCACUUGGACAGAAAGACCCUAUGAAGCUUUACUGUAACUUGGUAUUGGUUUUGGACUUUUUUUGCGCAGUAUAGGUGGGAAGCGGAGAUUCAUUUUUUUCGGAAAAUGAGGAGCUAUCAGUGAGAUACCACUCUAAAAAAGUUAGAAGUCUAAUGAUAUUCCAUAAUUUGGAUAUUUGAAAGUUCCAGGCGGGCAGUUUUACUGGGGCGGUAGCCUCCUAAAAGGUAACGGAGGCGUACAAAGGUUUUCUCAGACUGGACGGAAAUUUGUUUUUGAGUGUAAAGGCAUAAGAAAGCUUAACUGUUAGACUUACAAGUCGCGCAGGGACGAAAGUCGGUCUUAGUGAUCCGACGAUUCUGAAUGUGAAGGUCGUCGCUUAACGGAUAAAAGUUACUCUAGGGAUAACAGGCUGAUCUCCUCCAAGAGUUCACAUCGACGAGGAGGUUUGGCACCUCGAUGUCGGCUCAUCGCAGCCUGGAGCGGUAGUACGUUCCAAGGGUUGGGCUGUUCGCCCAUUAAAGCGGUACGUGAGCUGGGUUCAGAACGUCGAGAGACAGUUCGGUCCAUAUCCGGUGCGAGCGUUAGAGUAUUGAAAGGAGCUUUUUCUAGUACGAGAGGACCGAAAAAGACACACCGCUGUUGUACCAGUUCUUAUGCCAAUAGGAUAUGCUGGGUAGUCAUGUGUGGAGUGGAUAACUGCUGAAAGCAUAA